rnacentral:pre_miRNA from 1 species
UAUUCGAUAAAACGGCGUUCGAUGAAAUGUCCGGUACCGGACAUUUCAUCGAACGCCGUUUCAUCGAAUA